rnacentral:lncRNA from 1 species
AACCCGAGCUCCGGACCUCAGCAGUUCCUUACCUCGCUCAGCUCGGCUGAGGAGUCGUUGCCAUAUUUCACCGCAACUCCAGAAUUCAUGCCUGCACUUUUCAGAGCCGGGCUCGUCCCCAGACCUCGGAGCGUAGGAGCCGGGCUUAGGCUGGAUAGCCUGGGCUUGCUCCCCGCCGGCACAUUUCAGUCUAGACAGCCAUUUUCACCCAGGACAGCAGCGAGGCCAGAAAGGAUGGAGAAGCUCGAUACCGUAAGUCAGGCUGGAAUCUCACCAGCGAGCCAUAGCUGCAGGAGACUGGGCAGAGGGUUGCGCUCGCAGCAGCUGCAGCGGCCGAGCCGGCGCCGGGACCCACCCGCGCGUCCACCGCGGAGUCCCGGAGUGAUGCCACCCUCCGCGCCGCCUCGCCCCUCCUAUGGUACCACGCAGAUCCCCAUUACCCGGCAGGCGGGCAGUUCGCGCCGGCGCCCAGCAGAGCUCGGGUAUCCUCCGGGAGAAGCCUGGGCACCAGUGCGAGAACGAUAUGUGCCUCCGGUUCCCGGGAGGAAAGAGCUGGAGAGAGCCGGAGCUGAGCAGCACUUCACGCCGAAGUUUCCCCCUUUGAAUCGUCUGGAGUUGUUUCUUUAAAAUACAUCAGAUUCUUCUCCAUGGAGGGAAAACUGAUCGUGCAAAUUAGAGAUUUGGAAACCCCCGCAGGAAGAGUUUUUUAAAAGGUCUCUCUCUGCUUCCUGACCAUCAUGACAUGACCAGUCUCCUCUUCCUGCACAAGGUUCUGUUGCCAUGAUCUUCUGUCUUUCCCUGGGCUCAGAACCAGCAGAGCCCAUGAUCAUGGAUGGACUGGGAUCCCUGAAACAGGUCGUUUGGGCUGUUCUAAGCCUCUCGUGUUUCAACGUGAAUUUUGGAAUCAAGCUGCUGGUAUGCAAAGAGGCCAGAAUUUGGAGACAUUUACCUCUUAAUAUUAAGCCUGCUGACCCACAUAUGGGGGCUGUCUUUUCAUUUACUUGGGUCUUUGCUUCACUUGGGGUUUUAAACAGUUUUUUAUGUCUCUCAUUAAAUUUAUUACUACGUAUUUUAUUUCUCCUCCUCUUCCUCUUCCUUCUUCUUCCCCACCCCCUCUCUUAGUUUGUUUGUUUGUUUGUUUGUUUGUUUGUUUGUUUGUUUGUUUUUAGACAGGAUUUUUCUGUGUAGCGCUUGCUGUCCUAAACUCUCUCUGGCCUCAUCCUCAGAGAUCUGCCUGCCUCUGUUGCUUGAGGGUUGGAAUUAAAGGGGUGGGCCACCACCACCUGGCUUUUACUUUUUUUUUUAAUGAUCUAAUGUAAAUAGGCUUUAUUUAUUUAAUUUUCAGAUAAUUCAUUGCCAACAUAUAAAAAUCAACUAGUUUAUGUUAUGUUGAUUUUAUAUCCUGAAAUCUUCUCUAACUUUUUUUAUUUCUUAAUUGUCUGCAUGCAAGAUCUUCUGCAAAGAAAGGUAUGAGGAAUGAAGCUCUUUACAAACACUGCCAGACUCGUCAUAACCCUCGUAUAUGCAAGGCUACCAUGGCAGAGUCCUCUCAAAAGCUCACAUUGAAACUUAGCCCCCUCUGCAACAGCAGUAAGAAGUAUGGCUUUAGUGGAGCUCUGAAGUCACAAAUAAGAUUGCCGCCUAUUAUAUAAGAAGGCUUGGAAUUAAAGGGAAACUUUCUCCUUGUCUGCUUUUCCACUGUGUGGAUACAGCAUUUCUCCUCUUCAGAAGAUGUGGUAACAAGGUGGUCUUCGAUACACACCAAUCCUACAGGCAACUUGAUCUUGUACUUCCAAGUCUCGAGAACUCUGAGAAGAAAAUUUCUGUUCCUUAUAAGUCUCCCCGAUCUGUGGCAUUCUGUGACAGCAGUGUAUCUAAUGAUAGCACCUUUGGCUGGAGGGAGAGUUUGCAGAGAUGUUUUGCAUGUUAGAUUUUCCAUCACUGGGACAGAUACCAGAGAAACAAUUUAAAGGAGGAAAGAUUUAUUUUAGCUCAGGGUUUCCAUGGUUUAGUUCAAGCAUAAUGGCUCUGUGUAUCUGGGCUAUGGUUAGGCAGAAUACCAUGACAACAGAGAGCUCAUAGCAUUAUAACCAAGAGGCCAAGAGAGGUAAGGAAAGAGUCUCAGGGCCAGGUAUUCUCUUCAAAGGCAUGUCCCCAGUGAUGAAUCUUCUCCAACCAGGACACACACACACACACACACACACACACACACACACACUCCUGUAGCUGCCAGUCAGUGGAUUCUAGAGCCCUCACAAAUUACCCAGUUGUGAAUGAUUGGACCUACAGUAUAGAGACUAAAGCUUCAACAAACAAGCAUGGGGAGUUGUGCUUAAUAACUAAACCAAAAUAAACAUUUGAACA